rnacentral:miRNA from 1 species
CCUACUUUCCAUUUCCACCUGUUACACGUAAAUGCUGUCCAGCAAGAGACAUAAUCUGGCUCUUGCGGACACACAUACGAGUACCAGGCGGUUAGAAAUGGAUUUUUUCAGUAAGGUAGG